CCUACGGGAGGCAGCAGUGGGGAAUUGUUCACAAUGGGCGCAAGCCUGAUGACGCAACGCCGCGUGGGGGAUGAAGGUCUUCGGAUCGUAAACCCCUGUCGAAUGGGACGAAUAGCUUUCGGGUUAAUACCCCGGAGGAAUGACGGUACCGUUAAAGGAAGCCACGGCUAACUCUGUGCCAGCAGCCGCGGUAAUACAGAGGUGGCAAGCGUUGUUCGGAAUUACUGGGCGUAAAGGGCGCGUAGGCGGCCAUCUAAGUCAGACGUGAAAUCCCCCGGCUCAACCUGGGAACUGCGUCUGAUACUGGAAGGCUAGAGUUUGGGAGAGGGAUGUAGAAUUCCAGGUGUAGCGGUGAAAUGCGUAGAUAUCUGGAGGAAUACCGGUGGCGAAGGCGGCAUCCUGGACCAAUACUGACGCUGAGGCGCGAAAGCUAGGGGAGCAAACGGGAUUAGAUACCCCCGGGUAGUCCUAGCCCUAAACGAUGAAUACUUGGUGUGGCGGGUAUCGAUCCCUGCCGUGCCGAAGCUAACGCAUUAAGUAUUCCGCCUGGGGAGUACGGUCGCAAGGCUGAAACUCAAAGGAUUGACGG
rnacentral:rRNA from 1 species